UGUCUCGAGUGCAUGAGGACUGCCUUUAUAGGGCCAUUUGAGACUGUUUACGCGCGGAACUGAGCCAUGGAGAGUUGAAACGGUUGAUAUUGUUGGGGAAAUCCUUUUGUUUAAUUGAUUGACUUAGUUGGGGAGUUUUGGGGGCGAGUUUCGAGUGUGGGGGAUGUGUUCCGUGGGCGCAACUGCCGGGGCGAGAGAUACGGCGAGGAAAGUUGAUCUCGAGAUCGUUGACGUUUGUCAACACGUGCUGGAGGAGUCAGCUGUGGAAUUUCGGAGGGAGAAAAAAUUUUCAGAUUCAACAUUGUUGAAACUCUCCAGUGUCUUCGGUCCGGUGUUUGAAAGAGCAAUUGAGCUCCACGAAUUGGGGAAAUUCACAAGAGUCACUGCAUUCGAUCCCCAGAAGACUGGGGUUUGGAAGGAUAUUUAUGCAGCUCGUUCAUUAAUCCAGGUUCAAGGUCUCUCUGGGGAGAGCUACACGAUUUUUCCUGACGUCAACUACUGCCCCUGCCCUGCUUUCAAAUUCCACGUUCUUGGAGAUCAUUCAGCCGUGACUUGCAAGCACCUCCUAGCCGUCUGGCUUACGAAUCUGACUCCAGAGACAAUUAUCGAGAAAAAUAUAACACCCACGCAUUUUAGAAAUCUACUCCUCCAUCAAGUUUCCUACGAUCAAGAUGAACUCACAGAAUGAAGAAUUCCAAUUCGUUGCUAAGUUAGGAAAUCUCAGGACUGUCGUGCAACUACUGAGAUCUGUCAAUUUUCGAGAGAACGCAUUGUGUUUCGCAUCUGAAAACGGUUUAAAAAUCACAGUAGAGGACUCAAAAUGCAUUCAGGCAAACGCCUACAUCCCCACGAACGUUUUCCAAGAGUACGACCUGAAAGAAGACAUGAUAUUCAAAAUAAAUUUGACGGUUCUUGUCGAGUGCCUGGGGAUGUUCUGGAGCCAGAUUUCAGCAGCAGGAACGUCAGUGGCUCUACAAAUUUAUUACAGAGGCGAUGGACAUCCGGUGACAGUGCUCAUUGAGGAGGAUGGAAUAAUCACAGAUUGUUCGUUGAAAACUCAGGAAAUCGAGGAACUUCUCGACUUUCAAAUUCCACCGGAGAAAGUCCUGAAUAAAGUUAUCCUGCAGACGGAAUUGCUGAGGGAUAUCUGGAGUGAAUUGGAUCCCACUUGUGAAUUUAUUGAGCUAUUACUGUCUCCGAAGCCUCCAUAUUUCCAAAUUGGAACGGACGGAUUGGCCGGUGAAUGCAGGAUAGAAUUGCCCCACGACAGUGACCUGAUCGACAGUUUCGAGUGUAAAACGGAGGCUAGCUUUUACUACAGAUUUACCCACAUGAAACCAGCGAUGAGAGCUCUUGGUUGUGCAAACAAAGUUUCAUUGAGGACGAAUGACAUGGGAUUGCUUUGCUUCCAGUACAUGGUGAAGACUGAUGAGGGGCACACGUGUUACGUGGAAUAUUACCUGUCUCCAGUGCUGGAUACUGACGACUGAAGUAAAAAAAACCCACAAAAUCCACCAAAAUCGUCUAUUGAGUCCUCAAACGAUGACUGACCAGACGAUAGCCAGAUGUUAAUCUUCUCUGUAUCCACCGUCAGAGAAAACUGUAUGUAUUUUGUACUGCUCUACCACUUGUAGAUGCCUGUUGAUCAGCAUUCUGCUGCUCCAGUCUCUCUAGCGACUCCAUUCGAGUCCUUAUUGAUCCACCGUAUGUCUGCACCUUAAAUGAACAUAAAGAAACAGCUGGAAUUAAAAUUCAUUCACGAGAUACACAUGGACAACAAAAAUUUCAUUGAAAAAAUUGGUGCAUUUGCUAGGAAAUUAAUGGAACUAAUUUUUUUAUAGAACUUAUUGUAUUGAGAUAUUUUGUAUCGAAAUUUGUGGACCUGAAUUUUCCUAGGAUUUUUGUUCAAUUUUUUUCAUGAGAGGAGACAAAAAUUGAGUGAAAAAACUUGACGAAUUGUUGUCGAGGGAAUUUUACAGAAAAU